rnacentral:rRNA from 1 species
AUGAGCUGCCUGGGGUGGCUCAACAGGAGGAAGGGGUCCGGGAGCGGGAGGCGGGGCUCCUCGGCCUCGGCGCCGGCCACCACGAUGACGACCAUGACCACCACCACCACCACCACCACCACCACCGGGUCGGCGGUGAGCACGAGCCGGUCGGACGACUCCGGGGCGGGGCGGCCCACCAGCAAGUCCACGGGCUCCGCCUCCUCGCAGCGGAGCAUCUCCUCGCUCUACGAGGAGCGCGGCCACGGCCAGCUGCGCGCCUUCGAGUACGACGACCUCCGGGCCGCCACCAACGACUUCGGCCGCGCGCAGAAGCUCGGCGAGGGCGGCUUCGGCGGCGUCUACAAGGGCUUCGUCCGCCCGCUCGACCCCCGGGCCGACCGCAUCGCCGUCGCCGUCAAGCGCCUCAACACGCGCGGCCUCCAGGGACAUAAGCAGUGGCUGGCAGAAGUACAGUUCCUUGGGGUUCUUGAGCACCCAAAUCUUGUAAACCUUCUCGGAUAUUGUGCCGUUGAUGGUGAAAGGGGGGCCCAAAGAUUACUGGUCUAUGAGUACAUGCCCAACAAGAGCCUGGAAGAUCACUUGUUCAGCCGAAUCCAUCCUGCUCUCUCGUGGAACAGAAGGCUUCAGAUUAUCUUGGGUGCCGCUGAAGGAUUGGCUUACCUCCAUGAAGGGCUGGAACUUCAGGUGAUCUACCGGGACUUCAAAGCGUCGAACGUGCUGCUGGACAAGGACUUCCAAGCGAAGCUAUCAGACUUUGGGCUCGCGAGGGAGGGGCCAACAGAGGGGAACACUCAUGUCUCAACUGCGGCUGUGGGGACGCACGGGUACGCGGCGCCGGAAUACAUCGAGAAGGGGCACCUGACGGCGAAGAGCGACGUGUGGGGCUUCGGGGUGGUGCUGUACGAGAUCCUGACGGGGCGGCGGUCGCUGGACAGGAACCGGCCGCAGGGGGAGCAGAAGCUGAUCGAGUGGGUGGUCCAGUUCCCGCCGGACAGCCGCAACUUCCGCAUGAUCAUGGACCCCAAGCUCCGCGGCGAGUACUCCUCCAAGGCGGCCCGGGAGAUCGCCAAGCUCGCCCAGAGCUGCCUCCUCAAGAACCCCAAGGAGCGGCCCGCCAUGAGCGAGAUCGUCGAGGUGCUCAGGCGAGCCGUGCAGACCGAGCAAGCCUAUGUGGACAAGGCACCCGUCGCCGGCAACGGGAAGAGGGUCAACGUGGCGCCGCCGUCGAGGAGGUGA